UUCUCUCUCCCCAACUUCAUUCUCUCUUGGUAUGUCUUCUCUUUCUCACAGUCACACUCACUUACUUCCAUUCACUCUCUCAAAAUGUUAUUCAUAUGAGAAGUUAAAUGAGUUAAUAUUGUAGCCAAAAGCUCCUUCUCCUUCUCCAACUCAUAUCUCAAAUCACCAGAUCCAUUGUCGACCUCGAGCCCAACCUUCAGUCGCUACCAAGCCCGUGUCGUGGGCCGUCUGCCUCACGCCAUGGUCUUGUCCAAAUCUCGCCAUGGCUGUCGAUCCUAGAAAAUAAAAUUACAAGAAGGGGAAGAAGAAUUUGGGUGGAGGUGGAGAUGAACAGGUGUGAGCUCGAAACAUAUGCGGUCAUCAUAUGAUCGAAACGUCGGACCUCUUUGAAGUAAAGAACGACCUCGAGGAUGUAUAGGCUCGAAUAUUCUCUAAGCUCGCAAUGGCCAUGGUAUGACACUUGAAUAUAUUUUUCAUUGAUUGCCUUCAGGCGAGAUGGCUCAAGCUCGGGAAGUGCAAGCUCGAAUAUGACAACAUCUACUUGUUCUGAGCAUAGUCGAAGAUAGGUGACGAGGUCGUGAUCGACUGAUAGUCUCGGCAAGUUCAAUGACAACUGCUAAUCUCGAAGAUUUAAUGAAUCUCGUAUCUGGGUUAAUCAGUUACGUGUGAACAUGUUUAUUGUUGUACGAUCCUAAUAUUUAAGAGAUAUUAUUUAAUCUGUUAUCUGAUCCCAUUUUUCAUGGGACGUUUCUAUGAAUGAAGGAAAUAAUACAUUAUAUAGCAUUA